CGGAGGGUGCAAGCGUUAUCCGGAUUCGACUGGGUUUAAAGGGUGCGUAGGUGGGCUAGUAAGUCCGUGGUGAAAUCUCUGAGCUUAACUCGGAAACUGCCGUGGAUACUAUUAGUCUUGAAUCUCGUGGAGGUAAGCGGAAUAUGUCAUGUAGCGGUGAAAUGCUUAGAUAUGACAUAGAACACCGAUAGCGAAGGCAGCUUGCUACACGAGUAUUGACACUGAGGCACGAAAGCGUGGGGAUCAAACAGGAUUAGAUACCCUGGUAGUCCACGCCCUAAACGAUGGAUACUCGACAUACGCGAUACACAGUGUGUGUCUGAGCGAAAGCAUUAAGUAUCCCACCUGGGAAGUACGACCGCAAGGUUG
rnacentral:rRNA from 1 species